GACGAACGCUGGCGGCGUGCUUAACACAUGCAAGUCGAACGGAAAGUCCCUGCUUUUGUUGGGUUCUCGAGGGGCGAACGGGUGAAUAACACGUGAGUAACCUGCCCUUGACUUUGGGAUAACUUCAGGAAACUUGGGCUAAUACCGUAUAGGAGCUCCUGCUGCAUGGUUGGGUUUGGAAAGUUUCGGCGGUUGGGGAUGGACUCGCGGCUUAUCAGCUUGUUGGUGGGGUAGUGGCUUACCAAGGCUUUGACGGGUAGCCGGCCUGAGAGGGUGACCGGCCACAUUGGGACUGAGAUACGGCCCAGACUCCUACGGGAGGCAGCAGUGGGGAAUAUUGCAAAAUGGGAGGAAGCCUGAUGCAGAAACGCCGCGUGCGGGAUGACGGCCUUCGGGUUGUAAAAAGCUUUCGCCUGUGACGAAGCGUGAGUGACGGUAAUGGGUAAAGAAGCACCGGCUAAAUACGUG
rnacentral:rRNA from 1 species